CCGGUUGAUCCUGGCGGACCUGACUGCUAUCGGAUUGAUACUAAGCCAUGCGAGUCUUUGCAGUAAUGCAAGGCAUACGGCUCAGUAACACGUAGUCAACUUACCCUAUGAACGAGGAUAAUCUCGGGAAACUGAGCAUAAUACUCGAUAGAUCAUAAUGCCUGGAAUGGUUUAUGGUUGAAAUGAUUCGUCGCCAUAGGAUGGGACUGCGGCCUAUCAGCUUGUUGGUGAGGUAAUGGCCCACCAAGGCGAUUACAGGUACGGGCUCUGAGAGGAGAAGCCCGGAGAUGGGUACUGAGACAAGGACCCAGGCCCUAUGGGGCGCAGCAGGCGAGAAAACUUUGCAAUGUGCGAAAGCACGACAAGGUUAAUCCGAGUGAUUUCUGCUAAAGAAAUCUUUUGCAAGUCAUAAAACCACUAGUUA
rnacentral:rRNA from 1 species